GAUGAGGUCCACAGGGGGGGUGGAGGAGUCUGUUCUCUUGACCUGGUUUGGUAAGUACACUGAUAUGAUGGUUACUGGAUUUCUGACCCUAAUUCUUGUAUUAUUUGUUAUUGAUGUGAUGUGCUGCUUGCAUCAUACCGUGUUCUAAGAAAUAUGUUACAGAUAUGGUGAAGGCUUCAGGCAUGUUGCCUUUGCUUGAUGCUCCAGUUGGAGAUGCCGAUACGGAAGCAUGCUUUCAGGAGAGGAUGGGACUGACUGAGGAUGACCCAUGGUAUGCUGUGGGUGAGGUAGUAGAAUAAUUUUACACCACCACAGUUCCUUGUUAUAAAUUUUUAUGAUAGGUUUUCUUUCCAGUAUGUUUGUUCUCCCUGUUGUAAAGGUUUAGAGUCCCUGGGUGGCAAGGAGCCCACCUGGUACAGGAUAGGAGUAGCUGAGAGGACCAGAUGGUUUCUAAUAAUUCUUUCCUCUGUUUUCCAUGACCAAAGUUUUAUCCUACAUCUUACAUGUCAAUAACAAUAAAGUUUUAUCCUGUUUUUGAUAAGUGACACCCUUGUGGGUGUCAAAAGGGGGAAACGCAUAUAACAAUAGACAUAUAUCACUUGUUAUUAAUAAUAAACUUUUUAUUAUUUUCAUGAAAUGCUAUGACUGCUGAAAUAAAGGAUAAUGAGUGUCAAAAGGGGGACUUAAAUUUCACACCCUUGGGGUUAUUUUACAUUAUAGCCAUUACCAUAUAUAUGAUUGAAUAUUAUCUGCUGUUGCCUUGGGUGGAUGUGUGUAUGUGUUAUGUUCUCUAGCUGAUUUGAAACAUUGUUAAAAGUAUCAGGGCCAUGGAACUUUCUCAUGCUGGGAAAAUACAGAAGGGAGGGCACAUUCAGAGCGUGGGGUUGCGAGAACAAGCAGUCUUUUGUUAGAUAACAGGAGCCAGGUGCGAGAUAACGGUAUGGAGCAUGAGACCCAUCUUUUAGUUUUGCAGCCAUUUUAGUGUUGUGCGGCUGCGGUUGCAUUCCAUGUAUCCGGUCCCUUACUGCUAGAGUUAUCUCCAGAGCUAUUGACCCUUCUUCCCUUCCCAGAUGUAUCCUCUGCUUGCUAAUGACCUGCCAGAGUUUGAGGAUGAGGUGGAGAAUACCCAUUAGAGUGUGUCACAUCUCUUUGGAGAUGUGAAGAGAGGGUAUCACAACUUUUUCCUGCUGGAAAAGGUUGGCUUAUGUGGACAAACAUUUUACUUAUAGCUUAGAGCUGUUGUUCUCCGCAAUUGUUAAAUGAGGGUUGUAAGUUCCUAGGUGGCUGGUAGCCAACUUAGUACAUAGUGGGAUUGAGUGGAGAACUUGGUGGUAAUACAUAUACAUCCAUUUCUUUUUAAUGUUGUGCCUUUUUCAUAGCCCCUUUGGGAAAAGUUUUCUUUUGUAUCAGAAUCUAGUUAGGUUGUGUCACCUCUCUGGGGAGACGUGAAGAGAGGGAUUUGUAGAGGACUGCUAAUUCCUAUGUAGGUGACAUUACACUACUAUAGCUGAGACACAUAGUAAAACAGGUUGGGCCCCAUACAGGAUAUUUCUCACACACACACUCACUGUAAUCAUCCAGAACACUGUCACAACAGGAUACUCCUAGCCACAGGUGCUAGCCGGCAGUUCGGCCACAACUCCCCUGAAGAUAGGGACGCACACACUUUACACACUGACCCCAGAAGACAGGGACGACGCACAUACAGUACACACAUAGCUGCCGAGGACACACAGAUAAGACACCCACAGAUUGGCAGAAAGCCUAGACUUAGUGACUGAAGAUAGCGCACACACCAGAUCUCCUUUUCAGCUGAACAUGGUGUGACGACCAAGAACAGGCAUGGCAGGAUUCUACGAUGACGGACAGACAACAGAGCCAAUGCCGGAUGACUACACCCCAGCCUGAUCCAAUCCGAAGAUCCGAUCUCCUAGAUAUCAACCUACUUUCUGUUCUGUAUAUGAAGCUUGUACCCAUUGUUAGCUAGUGUCUUUUUUGCUAGUCUCUGAUGAGCUAACAGAGGGGCCCGUAUAUACGCUGUACCAGAUAUCUCCACUUUGAAAUAAACCUGUCGCUUGUCGUACAAUCUAC